UUCCGGGUUCGAGUCCCGGCGGAGUCGCC
rnacentral:piRNA from 7 species